rnacentral:rRNA from 1 species
AUACGUAGGGAGCGAGCGUUGUCCGGAAUUACUGGGUGUAAAGGGUGCGUAGGCGGGGAUGCAAGUCAGAUGUGAAAUGUAUGGGCUCAACCCAUGAACUGCAUUUGAAACUGCAACUCUUGAGUGAGGUAGAGGUAAGCGGAAUUCCUCGUGUAGCGGUAAAAUGCGUAGAUAUUAGGAGGAACACCGGUGGCGAAGGCGGCUUUCUGGACAGUAACUGACGCUGAGGCGCGAAAGCGUGGGGAGCAAACAGGAUUAGAUACCCUGGUAGUCCACGCCAUAAACGAUGAAUACUAGGUGUAGGGGGUAUCGACCCCCUCUGUGCCGAAGUUAACACAUUAAGUAUUCCGCCUGGGGAGUACGGCCGCAAGGCUGAAACUCAAAGGAAUUGACGGGG